CCAAAUUAUAUGUAAGAAAGCACAACAACAAGCAACCAAGCACAACAAGAAAGCAUACCCUAAUGCUAUCGACGGAAUUUAAAUACGGAAAUAAAAACGGUGCCCUUACCUCGGCAAUGCUUCCAACCAAAACCACAAUGUUUCACAAUAUCUACCGUUUCGCGUUUCCUAAAAAUAACGAGCGGACAAUGAAUAAGUUUCUCCCAAAUUAUCUUAUCGAAACUAAACCUAUCUACAAAGGUCUAGAGGUGUCUAAGGCACUUCCUAACACUCUCGAAUAUUAUUUCCGAG
rnacentral:lncRNA from 1 species